GCAAAACGCGAAGAACCUUACCUGGUCUUGACAUAGUAAGAACUUUCCAGAGAUGGAUUAGUGCCUUCGGGAACUUACAUACAGGUGCUGCAUGGCUGUCGUCAGCUCGUGUCGUGAGAUGUUGGGUUAAGUCUCGCAACGAGCGCAACCCUUUUCCUUAUUUGCCAGCGGGUUAAGCCGGGAACUUUAAGGAUACUGCCAGUGACAAACUGGAGGAAGGCGGGGACGACGUCAAGUCAUCAUGGCCCUUACGACCAGGGCUACACACGUGCUACAAUGGUCGGUACAAAGGGUUGCUACCUAGCGAUAGGAUGCUAAUCUCAAAAAGCCGAUCGUAGUCCGGAUUGGAGUCUGCAACUCGACUCCAUGAAGUCGGAAUCGCUAGUGAUCGCGGAUCAGAAUGCCGCGGUGAAUACGUUCCCGGGUCUUGUACACACCG
rnacentral:rRNA from 1 species